AUAGAAACCAAUUAGGACAACAUCUUUAUCUUGGACUUCUAGCCUCCAUAACUUUCGUUUUCACGCUGCUGAUAAAGACAGCCGAGAGUGGGUAAUUUAUGAAGAAAAAGAGGUUUAAUGGGCUCGCAGUUCCACGUGGCUGUGGAGGCCUCACGAUCAUGGCGGAAGGUGAAAGGCACAUCUUGCAUUGGCAGCAGAUAUCUGUCCUGGGAAACAAAGCAUCUCCUGAAUAAUACUGUCAGCUAAAAUUCAACAAUUUCCAGCAAAAAGAUAAAAAAAGAUUCCCAUGGAUAACCGUAGAAACUGUUCUAUUACAAAAUUAAUAUUCAUAUUAUUCUUAUUAUGGAACAUGAACCCUUCAAGAUCUGGUUCCUCAAAUAUGUUAACAGCCUUCUUACCAUCCUAUUUGCUAAACUCAAAGUUUCCAGAAUUCAACUUGCUCGUACACAUUUUGUGGACUUUCCACACAUCCAUAAGUAUUCUUAUUCUGGAGAGCUGUUUAUUUUCUUGACCAAAGAACUUUUAUAGUAUGCUAAAAUGAGAUUCUUUGCUAUUAUUUGAGACAAGCUUCCUUUACCAUUUUGAUUGAGAUAGGGGGUUCCUUUCAGGUACUGACGUAAUAGCUGAUCCUACCACUGUCUUUGUCUUUUUAUGAAUUGAGGAAACCCACUCCUUCCAUACACAGGAGUUGGCAGCCUAAUGGAACCUUAUUCAGUGAGAAAUAAGCAGGUCUUUCUCCAGCUGGAAACAGCCUCCAAGUAGGCACAGGGAUAGAAGGAAAUUAUUGGCUUGAACUUUGAUCAUCACGCAUCAGUCAUCCAGGAGUAGGAGUUGUUAUAAGAUGACAGUAUGGAAAAUCCUUUCCUCCUGUCCCAACCCUCUCACAGCACAUUUUCUUUUCAUUAUAUAAAAACAUCCCCAGGUAAACUAUAAGCAAUUCGAGGGAAGAAUGUGUGCUCUGCCUGUGUCCCCAGGGUGCAGCACAGAAUCUGACACACAGACAUUUUCACCGUAUGUAUGUUGAAUAAAUGAAUAUUUGAUGAAACAUAUCAAGAUGAAUAUCUGCAAGAAAAAACAAUGUUCAUUGGGGACUUCUCGCUGAGCUCAUGUCAUGGUAUAUAUGUCUUGUAUCCUUCAACUGUCAAAUUCAAUACACCAUCAACCUUCAUUUGAUAGAUUAGUGUGAAAAUUUGAAGCAUUAAAAUGGAAUUAUUCACGGGAAAAGAUUUUUUUCUUUUCAAAAUAGAAGUGUGAGGCAUGAAAAGUACAUGAAUAAAUAUAUUUGACAUAUUAAUUUGGGUGAUAAUUGAAGGAGAGAAAAUAAAAUUUUCAAACCUGCUUCUAGAUCAUGGAAGGUUCGGAGGGAAUGAAAUGCCAUGGAAGAGCACACAUUGUUAACCUUGAUGAGAAUGGGUAGGUAUGCUGGCUAAGUUCCUUUCUGGCCACGUGAAUUUGGGCAGAUUGGUUAUCUACUCUGAUCACACGUUUGUCAUUUGUUAAAUAAAUGUAUCAUUUCCUCCGUUGUAAGGUUGUUGUGAAGAUUUAAAAAUGAAUGAUGCAUAUAAAAUACCUAGAAUAGUAUUCUGAACAUUGCGGGGACUAUUUGGUAGUUCUCCACAAUUAAAUAUGUGAUAUAAAUAAGAGAGAUAGGCCGGGCGCGGUGGCUCAAGCCUGUAAUCCCAGCACUUUGGGAGGCCGAGACGGGCGGAUCACGAGGUCAGGAGAUCGAGACCAUCCUGGCUAACACGGUGAAACCCCGUCUCUACUAAAAAUACAAAAAACUAGCCGGGCGAGGUGGCGGGCGCCUGUAGUCCCAGCUACUCGGGAGGCUGAGGCAGGAGAAUGGCACAAACCCGGGAGGCGGAGCUUGCAGUGAGCUGAGAUCCGGCCACUGCACUCCAGCCCGGGCUACAGAGCAAAGACUCCGUCUCAAAAAUAAAUAAAAAAAUAAAUAAAUAAAUAAAUAAAUAAAUAAAUAAGAGAGAUAUAUAUCUGAUAUAUAUCUCAUAUUACAUAAAGUACAAGACUCUAAAUAAUUUUAGAUCUGAAUGAAGUUCAAAGAUGACAAUUGUUUAUUUUAUUGAUGGGUUAUAUCUGUUUUGGACACUUCCUCAUAUUGUCAUAUCAGUGAUAAAUACAUUAAAAGGUGCACAUUUAAAAAUAUUUGUCAAUAUGCAGAAUUUUAAAAAUGCAUAUUUGCUUCAAGUUGACUCCUAAGGAGCCACUAAAACAGAAGAGAGAGAGAAAUACAUAGUUGCUUUAUUAUUUAAUAAUGCACUUUGCUUCAGGUAAACAAAAACAUAACCUAUAGCAACUUCGAAAUUUGAGUUUUGUUCUACACACCAUAAAAUCUUGACAGGAGGCAACAUAGAGCUGGUAAGGAAGCUCAAGGUGCCAGAAAGGAUACAGCUUCUUUUUAUUUCUGACCACUGAACUUUCAUCCCGCCUUUUUCAUCUUUUACAGCGUUCCUUCUCAUGCUUCUUCUCCCCCAGUUGGCAGGACAAAUUUUACACCCUCAGGGAUCACUUGGCUGCCCAUAGCUGCAAGGAUGAAUGGAAGUUUAAUUUUUAGCUUUCCAGAACUCAGCAGAGGAGAGCAAGUGAAGAGAUGAGGAAACAUAUUGAUUUAGGCCAACUAUAAUAUCUUCUACAGCAACAAAUCCACCUGUGUACACGUAAAGGCUAUCACACACAUGUUUGAAAUUAAAUUUAAACAAAUUUAUGAGUGUUCUACAUUAUACUUCUUACUUCAUUUGCUUUUGUAUUUUAAUAUUAAAAAUGUCAAAAGCAAAAAAUGCACCCUGUUUUAAUACUGCGUGUUUAAUAAACAUGUGUCCUAAGACUUUCGUAUAUAGAAAGUUUGUCGAAAGAGGUAUUAGCUUUAUUUUGUUCACCCCAAUAAUUCAAAUUAGAUUUUAGCUUACAUGAAUGCAUAUUGUCAUUUAAAAAGGUUUGUGGCAAUUGUAAAAUAUCUUAGAUUUAAACACUUUAAGUACUUUUUCAAAUAAGACAUAAAUUUUGUGAACCAAUGGUAAACUUGUAAUGUGUAGAUGGUCUCUUUUAUUUUUACUUAAUAUUUUAUAAUAAUAAGGCAUUAUUUUGAAUAGUGGCAAAUGAGACUAUAUAAUAUGUUGUGAAAAGAAACUGAAUUACUAAAUAGAAUCCGACACCACUAAGUAGGGAAUAGAUUUGUACGUUUCUGAAAGAUCUGUCAGUAAACUGGAGAGCUCUAUAAGUGGGUGUGUCUUUUGUAUUAACAUCAAAUCUUUAGAUGAUAAUUUACAAUAUUUAUAUUUUAUUUUUAUGUACUUACAAAAGUGAUUUUUGAUCAUUUGUCAAAAACUAAUUUACUUUGUGCAUAUUACAGUAAAAUUAGGCAAACCUGACUUGAAAUAAGACAUAACCUUGGAAACUUUCAACAUUUUUAUAUCCUUUUUUAGCCAAUCAGAAUUUUUGUCUUCCUCUCUAAUAUUCCUGGUAUCUGCCUCUUAUGUUUAGCACCCAUUAACUUAGUUUUUAUUGAAGUAGGAAGCACAAAAUAUCAUAUCUACUUUUCUUUUUGUU
ensembl:lncRNA